rnacentral:lncRNA from 1 species
CCUGCAGAAAGGAACAAUUAUAGCUGAACUGCUGUACUUUCUUUCUGCCCUGCUUUAUUAUUCUCCAUAGUACUUAUCACCUUGUAACAUCUGGAACACACCCUGGCAUAUGGUAGGCCCUCCAUUGAUGUUUAUUGGAUGUGAAUAAAUGAAUGUGUCAUCAAGAGGAUUUGCGAUGCCCCGCUCGUCAUGGAGAUGUUAGGACUCUAAUAUCCAGUUUCAACUUUCCAACUGGCUUCUUGGAAACUUGUGGCUCCUUCUUAAAAACUGAGACGGGGCCUCCCUCUAUUGCCCAGGCUGAAGUGCAG